CCAACAAUGGCCGCUUCCAAUCACGUUGAAUGUUAUUGGUGUGUCUUGAUAAGGUUAUUUAUUUAUUUCUAUUAAUCUCCAUUAUGAAAACUACGUGCAAAGUGCUUUAGUUCAUCAAAAAGGAAGGAUUCAGUUCAUCAUCAUCUAGUGUACAAUUCAUAUCUUAUAGUAAAUUGUCCAAACGCCGUUUGAUGCUGAACACAUUUCCGUGGACAGAUCACAUCCUAUAGGAAUGGAUAUUGUGCGAGUGAAACUGGGAAGAAACAUAAAUUGUACUGCAACUCCUCCCUUAGUAUGAAAUGGAUCAACGGACCAUGUCAGUUACCAGCAACAACAAAGUAAUCAUUACUUCCCGGAGAUCGCGAGUCGGCCGCAGACUUUUUAACGCAGUUUCUUUAUAAAAAUUGUGUGUAGCUAGUCUUUGUCUAUGACAGAAGAGUGACUUCCACCAACGUUCUGCCGCAUCCUCAUCUUCGCGACGUACGCUCAUCCAGCUUCGCUGCUACUUGUGCUGCUACUUGUGCUGCUACUCGUGCUACUACUCGUGCUACUACUCGUGCUACUACUCGUGUUACUACUCGUGUUACUACUCGUGUUACUACUCGUGUUACUACUCGUGUUAUACAACUUUUCUCUACUUCAACGAUGAGUUAAACCACUUCAAUGGUCGCUUCCUUCCACCGUGACUCACCUGAAGUUACUCACCACGGGAUUAUGCCCAGUCAGAGGAAACGUGAAAGUCGUGCAGCCAACUGUUUGUUCAAACUCAUUGUAUUGUACUGAAUGUGCCAUAGAAAUUAUACAGAUCACCAAACCCAGCAUGGACCAAUCUCAUUCCAUCUUCUAGAGAACCUUCACUUUUCAUUUCACUGAACUUCCUUCGUUGCAGUCUAAUAUGUUUAAAAGUUUCUAAAUUGGCAUGACAGACUUUAUGAGAAGUAAAGUCCUUUCAAGAAAGACAACAAGGUCCCUUGUUUGCUAACCCAAUGGCUGCUACCCUUGAAUCUCCCUUUUUACUUCCUUAAACGGGCCCUCUUGAUUUGAGGCAAUGUUUUCUGGUAAUCCUUCGCUACUUAUCGUGGACUUCAUCCAUUGCUGAACACCAACGUUGAGAGCAUGCUGUCAUUCCAGACUGAUAAAUUGUGUAUUAAAUGACCAGUGCAUAUCUGAGCUCCCUUCUUUUCUGUGGCCCCGUUUCCCUAAUAACUAAUUACUAACCAACGCCCGCCGGUGGUCACUCACCCGCUGUGAAACCAGGAGGAGGGGAGGGCUCUGGUCGAACGGGGACUUG